UGAAGGGCUCCAUGCGCGGCUCAAUUCCAUGCCCCUGGGAUCAUGACCUGAGUUGUGCACUGAAAGUCGUACUCUCAUUCCCCCUCCAGUCCCCCAGCUCACCUCAGCCCACACAGUCCAGAAACCCAGGGCGGGCAGGACAUGAAAACCAUGAUGGUGGCGGACUGAAACAUCUUCAGGUAGAAUCACUAGUAACAAGGGACACCCUCAUAACUUGUGUGGCUGGUCCUAAGGCUGGCCUCUGCUACCACCUACUGCCUUCUUUUUCCCCUUUGGGAUUCCUCCUUCCUUCAUCCACAACACAUUCCGUGAGUGUCCUGGAUCCUUCUCAUCCUUAAAUUAAAAUCUACAGGUAACUGGCUUUUUUCUCCUCAGGUUGUUCAUUUGUCGUCCUACCUGUCCAAUGCCACCAUGUCUUCAACUCUUUUCUUUUUCCCCAGGAAUACGUGACUGGUUGCUCAAGAAGGACUCUCUACUGUUCUUCAAAAAAUACCUUUUUCGCUGGAAAAUGAAGCCAGUGUCACGAGGCAAUAUCAUGUCUGGCAAUGUUGCAUCUAUCUUGUCAACAUGAGGGGAUCCAGCCUCAGGUCAGAGCUGACAUACCGACAUGAGAAUGGUGAAGCGGAAACAUGCAAAGAACAUAGAUCCUUGACAAUGUCAUGAAUCUCUGAAGUAACCAACCCCGGAGCUCUUUUCCUCCUGGUUUCUAGUGAUGGGAAAUAAUACAUAUUCUUAUCCUUGGAUCCAAUUAAGUCUAAGUCUUCUGUUCAUACCAUUAAAAGCCCUGAAACUCACUUGAA